GACGAACGCUGGCGGCGUGCCUAACACAUGCAAGUCGAACGGGACCGCAAGGUCAGUGGCGAACGGGUGCGUAACACGUGAGAAACGUAGCCAUCGGCGGGGGAUAGCCGGUCCAACGACCGGGUAAUACCGCGUACGACCUUCGGGUGGCAUCACCUGGAGGUGAAAGCAGCAAUGCGCCGAUGGGGCGUCUCGCGGCCUAUCAGCUAGUUGGUGAGGUAACGGCUCACCAAGGC
rnacentral:rRNA from 1 species